rnacentral:lncRNA from 1 species
UGAGUCCUUGUCAGGUUUUGGUAGCAGGAUACUACUGGAUUUGUGGAGGAGAUUGGAAAGGUUCCUUCCCUUUCUAUCCAAAGGGUAGCUUGAAGAGCAUUGGUGUUCUUUAAAAGAGUUCUUUAAAAGGUUCAAUAACUUGUAUUUCAUAUGAAAAAAUGUUCAACAUCUCUCGCAAUUAGAGUAAUGCAAAUCAAAACUAUUCUAAGAUUUCAUCUCAUUCCAGUCAGAAUGGCGGCUAUUAAGAACACAAACAACAAUGAGUGUUGGUGAGGAUGUGGGGACAAGGACUCACUCAUACAUUGGUGCAGCCAAUAUGGAAAGCAGUGUGGAGAUUCCUUGGAAAACUUGGAAUGGAACCACCUUUUGACUCAGAUAUCCUACUCCUCGGUUUAUACCCAAAGUACUUAAAAGCAGCACACUAUAGUGUUGCAGCCACAUCAAUGUUUAUAGCAGCUCAAUUCACAAUAGCUAAACUAUGGAACUAACCUAGAUGCCCUUCAACAGAUGAAUGGAUAAAGAAAACGUGGUAUAUAUACACCAUGGAAUAUUACUCAGCCUUAAAGAAUGAAAUUGUGGCAUUUGCAGGUAAAUGAAUGGGGUUGGAGAUAUCAUGCUAAGCAACAUAAGCCAAUCCAAAAAAAUCAAAGGCCAAAUGUUUUCUCUGAUAAGUGGUUGCUGAUCCAUAACACGUGGAUGGUGGUGGCAAGGGAAGAACGGAAGAACUUUGGAUUGGGCAGAGGGGAGUGGGGGGAA